CCAAGUUUCAAACCUUAAGGAUUCAAUAAGCAAUCUUGAAAGAAGGACACCACCUUAGAAAAGAUGAGGUUUGCCAACCUCUUCAUUCCUCCUUCAACAACUCACCUGACAUUCACGAGCGUCUUCAGUGGGCAAUGAGAAAGCCAUUAAAACGAGGAAGGCCUGUAGAGACCAGUGUCGAGGACCUUCUCCUUACCUGUUGGUUUGGCCAGAGGGGUGACCUCUAAAAAGCAGGAGGCUGUAGCAAGAAGCCAACAUUCACAGCAAGGUUCUGGGCUUCUCUGCGGCCUUCUUCUGCGGUGGGUUAUUUCCACUACGUUCCCAGGCAGGCUUCGCUUCUCGCAGAAGUGAGAAAAGACCGUGUCAGCAGCCCCCAGCUCAGAGCCGGCUCUCCUAAGAAGAUGCUCACUUUUCAGGAGUUAGGGGUGGUGGCCAAGAGCUCCACUUGACCCAACCUCCUCUGUGCCAUUAAGGGAAGUUAAUUAAAACAGUGUGGGCUCCUGUCCAUGCACCGCGUAUUUCCUGGUUGAUUCAGCAGUUCCAAAGGAGGCUAGAAGUUU
rnacentral:lncRNA from 1 species